AGAGUUUAUGGGGGAUACCUUGGCAUUCAGAAGCGAUGAAGGACGUGGCUACCGACGAAACGCUUCGGGGAGCUGGAAACAAGCUAAGAUCCGGAGGUGUCCGAAUGAGGCAACUCAAAAACUACUUAUUGAAUACAUAAAUAAGAAAGAGCAAACCUAGGGAAUUGAAACAUCUUAGUACCUAGAGGAAUAGAAAGUAAAAACGAUUCCCUGAGUAGCGGCGAGCGAAACGGGAUUAGCCUAAACUUAAUUAUAAAUUAAGGGUAGUGGGACAAUAAUAACGAAUUAAAUGGAACAAUUAGAGGAAUAAGUUUGGAAUACUUAACUAUAGAGAGUGAUAGUCUCGUACUCGAAAAUUGAAACAAUCAAAUUGAAUCCCAAGUAGCAUGGGGCACGUGAAAUCCCGUGUGAAUCUGCGAGGACCACCUCGUAAGGCUAAAUAUUCCUGAAUGACCGAUAGUGAAAUAGUACCGUGAGGGAAAGGUGAAAAGAACCCCGGGAGGGGAGUGAAAAGAACAUGAAACCAUAAACUUACAAGCAGUAGGAGGACGACUAAAACGUCUGACUGCGUGCCUGUUGAAGAAUGAGCCGGCGACUUAUAGUUAGUGGCAGGUUAAAGUAGUGAAUACUGAAGCCACAGUGAAAGCGAGCCUGAAUAGGGCGUUUGUCACUAGUUAUAGACCCGAACCUGGAUGAUCUAACCAUGGUCAGGUUGAAGCUUAGGUAAUACUAAGUGGAGGACCGAACCGACUGAUGUUGAAAAAUCAGCGGAUGAAUUGUGGUUAGGGGUGAAAUGCCAAUCGAAUCCGGAGCUAGCUGGUUCUCCCCGAAAUGCGUUUAGGCGCAGCGAUAAAUGUUUAAACUUAGGGGUAAAGCACUGUUACGUAUGCGGGCUGGUAAUUCGGUACCAAAUCGUUGCAAACUAAGAAUACUAAGUGUACAGUUUAUCAGUGAGACUGUGGGGGAUAAGCUUCAUUGUCAAGAGGGAAACAGCCCAGAGCACCAGUUAAGGCCCCUAAAUAAUUACUAAGUGAUAAAGGAGGUGGGAGUGCAUAGACAAUCAGGAGGUUUGCUUAGAAGCAGCAAUCCUUUAAAGAGUGCGUAAUAGCUCACUGAUCGAGUAAACCUGCGCCGAAAAUGUAUGGGACUAAGUAAUUUGCCGAAACUGUGCGAUAUAUAUUUAUAUAUCGGUAGGGGAGCGUUCUGUUGUAGGUCGAAGUAUUAGCGUAAGCGGAUAUGGACGAAGCAGAAGUGAGAAUGUCGGCUUGAGUAACGAAAAUAUAGGUGAGAAUCCUAUACCCCGAAAACCCAAGGUUUCCUCCGGAAGGCUCGUCCGCGGAGGGUUAGUCAGGGCCUAAGGUGAGGCUGAAAAGCGUAGUCGAUGGACAACGGGUUAAUAUUCCCGUACCAUUUUUUAUUGAUAUCGAGGGACGGAGAAGGCUAAGCUAGCCGGAUAUUGGUUUUACCGGUUUAAACGUUCGAGAUGUUGAGAAGCGGAGAAAACGCUUUGAGUUGAGACGUGAAUACGAGACGCUAAGGCGUCGAAGUAGUGUAUGUCAUACUUCCAAGAAAAGCUUGCACUGUCAUAAAUAAAAAAUGCCUGUACCAUAACCGACACAGGUGGGUAGGUAGAGUAUACUAAGGGGCGCGAGAUAACUCUCUCUAAGGAACUCGGCAAAAUAACUCCGUAACUUCGGGAGAAGGAGUGCCUUAUUUAUAAGGUUGCAAUAACAAGAUCCAAGCAACUGUUUAUCAAAAACACAGGUCUCCGCUAAGUCGUAAGACGAUGUAUGGGGGCUGACGCCUGCCCAGUGCCAGAAGGUUAAAGAAGUUGGUUAGCAAUUGCGAAGCUGAUAACUGAAGCCCUGGUGAACGGCGGCCGUAACUAUAACGGUCCUAAGGUAGCGAAAUUCCUUGUCGGGUAAGUUCCGACCCGCACGAAAGGCGUAACGAUUUGGGCACUGUCUCAACAAGAGACUCGAUGAAAUCUUAGUACCGGUGAAGAUGCCGGUUACCCGCGACAGGACGGAAAGACCCCGUGGAGCUUUACUGUAGCUUGAUAUUGAUGUUUGUUAUGUGAUGUACAGAAUAGGUGGGAGACUUUGAACCCGGAACGCUAGUUUCGGGGGAGUCAUCUUUGGGAUACCACCCUUCGCAUAUUGAAUUUCUAACCCACCGGUGUGUAGCCGGGGGGACAGUGUCUGGCAGACAGUUUGACUGGGGCGGUCGCCUCCUAAAGAGUAACGGAGGCGCACAAAGGUACACUCAGAAUGGUUGGAAAUCAUUCGAAGAGCGUAAAGGUAUAAGUGUGCUUGACUGUGAGACAUACAGGUCGAACAGGUACGAAAGUAGGUCUUAGUGAACUGCCAUUUCUGAAUGGAAAGGAUGGCAAUCAACGGAUAAAAGUUACCCCGGGGAUAACAGGCUGAUUCCUCCCAAGAGUUCACAUCGACGGAGGAGUUUGGCACCUCGAUGUCGGCUCAUCACAUCCUGGAGCAGGAGCAUGUUCCAAGGGUUGGGCUGUUCGCCCAUUAAAGUGGUACGCGAGCUGGGUUCAGAACGUCGUGAGACAGUUCGGUCCCUAUCCGUCGUGGGCGUUGGGAAUUUGAGAGGAGCUGACCUUAGUACGAGAGGACCGGGUUGGACAUACCUCUGGUGCACCAGUUGGGCUGCCAGGCCCAUAGCUGGGUAGCUAUGUAUGGACGGGAUAAACGCUGAAAGCAUCUAAGCGUGAAGCCCCCCUCAAGAUGAGAUUCCCCAUUCGU
rnacentral:rRNA from 1 species